UUGAUCCUGACACAGAGAUGCGACCCCUGU
rnacentral:piRNA from 1 species